rnacentral:rRNA from 1 species
UACAGAGGUCUCAAGCGUUGUUCGGAUUCAUUGGGCGUAAAGGGUGCGUAGGCGGCGCGGUAAGUCGGGUGUGAAAUCUUGGAGCUUAACUCCGAAACUGCAUUCGAUACUGCCGUGCUUGAGGACUGGAGAGGAGACUGGAAUUUACGGUGUAGCGGUGAAAUGCGUAGAUAUCGGGAGGAAUACCAGUGGCGAAGGCGGCCUUCUGGACGGAUACUGACGCUGAGGCGCGAAAGCCAGGGGAGCAAACGGG